rnacentral:rRNA from 1 species
UGGCUCAGGAUGAACGCUGGCGGCGUGCCUAAUACAUGCAAGUCGAACGCACAGCGAAAGGUGCUUGCACCUUUCAAGUGAGUGGCGAACGGGUGAGUAACACGUGGAUAACCUACCUCAAGGUUGGGGAUAACAUUUGGAAACAGAUGCUAAUACCGAAUAAAACUUCGUAUCGCAUGAUACAAGGUUAAAAGGCGCUACGGCGUCACCUAGAGAUGGAUCCGCGGUGCAUUAGUUAGUUGGUGGGGUAAAGGCCUACCAAGACAAUGAUGCAUAGCCGAGUUGAGAGACUGAUCGGCCACAUUGGGACUGAGACACGGCCCAAACUCCUACGGGAGGCUGCAGUAGGGAAUCUUCCACAAUGGGCGAAAGCCUGAUGGAGCAACGCCGCGUGUGUGAUGAAGGCUUUCGGGUCGUAAAGCACUGUUGUAUGGGAAGAACAGCUAGAGUAGGGAAUGACUUUAGUUUGACGGUACCAUACCAGAAAGGGACGGCUAAAUACGUGCCAGCAGCCGCGGUAAUACGUAUGUCCCGAGCGUUAUCCGUAUUUAUUGGGCGUAGAGCGAGCGCAGACGGUUGAUUAAGUCUGAUGUGAAAGCCCGGAGCUCAACUCCGGAAAGGCAUUGGAAACUGGUCAACUUGAGUGCAGUAGAGGUAAGUGGAACUCCAUGUGUAGCGGUGGAAUGCGUAGAUAUAUGGAAGAACACCAGCGGCGAAGGCGGCUUACUGGACUGUAACUGACGUUGAGGCUCGAAAGUGUGGGUAGCAAACAGGAUUAGAUACCCUGGUAGUCCACACCGUAAACGAUGAACACUAGGUGUUAGGAGGUUUCCGCCUCUUAGUGCCGAAGCUAACGCAUUAAGUGUUCCGCCUGGGGAGUACGACCGCAAGGUUGAAAACUCAAAGGAAUUGACGGGGACCCGCACAAGCGGUGGAGCAUGUGGUUUAAUUCGAAGCAACGCGAAGAACCUUACCAGGUCUUGACAUCCUUUGAAGCUUUUAGAGAUAGAAGUGUUCUCUUCGGAGACAAAGUGACAGGUGGUGCAUGGUCGUCGUCAGCUCGUGUCGUGAGAUGUUGGGUUAAGUCCCGCAACGAGCGCAACCCUUAUUGUUAGUUGCCAGCAUUCAGAUGGGCACUCUAGCGAGACUGCCGGUGACAAACCGGAGGAAGGCGGGGACGACGUCAGAUCAUCAUGCCCCUUAUGACCUGGGCUACACACGUGCUACAAUGGCGUAUACAACGAGUUGCCAACCUGUGAAGGUGAGCUAAUCUCUUAAAGUACGUCUCAGUUCGGACUGCAGUCUGCAACUCGACUGCACGAAGUCGGAAUCGCUAGUAAUCGCGGAUCAGCACGCCGCGGUGAAUACGUUCCCGGGUCUUGCACUCACCGCCCGUCA